CGAGUUGGACGAGCAGUCUCGAAGGCAGCAUUCCAUAACAAUAUCACCACCGGAGGUCAUGUGAGGUUGAACACUACAAAAGAGAUUUUUUAUUCUUCGUUCGUUUUAAGUAACUGACGGCCGAGGAUGAUUAGGGAUACAAAAUACAUCAGAAUCAAGUCUACGUAGCAAGAGAGACUCAGGGAAACAGCAAGAGGAUCAGAUAAAUCAGUAGCAGAACUUUACAGACUCAGCGAGGACCGCGUCCCUACGGGAUAGAGUCAAGAACGGGGUCGGUUUAUAACUAGCGAAAAGUUCCGUCCAUUGGCAAUAUUGCAGUGUACACUUUUAGGCGGGAUGGUAUAUUAUAGUAGACUAAGAAAAUGCACUUCGUUCCUACAUUUUUUCUUCAUCUUCCGUUUUUAUGUUUUUUUUUUUCUCCCAUCCACUUGCUCCAUGCACGUAUUUUGGACAUUAUGAAUAUGUAGCUUUAGAAAAAAA